ensembl:lncRNA
GUUAGCACAACGUGACUCUAUGUUCGUGGAUCCCCAGUUGAUGCCACCCUGACAGUUCCACCUCUUACUGCCUCCCUUCCAGCAUGAGUGACGCAAUGAGCACAGCUGAGUGAGCUAGCUGGAUGAGCUGGAGAAGAGCUGAAAGCAAGCAGGGGGAGGAGGGGAGAACAACCUCUCAAAACCACAACAAAUGUUUGCCAAAAUGGAGCGUGUAUACUUACCAAGGACUAAGUUACGGAUGCUGGGGAAGAGAGUUCUAGGAGAUGUCUAGCACAUCCAGCUAACUCAAAUGAGCUGCACCAUCUUACUCAGAGGCCUGUACUUUUCAGUAGCAGACCAGAUAUUCAGGCUUUUCAUUCCCUCCCUGGCUCUGCCCCUAGCUCUGACACAAAUCAAAUCUACAAAAGCACAUUGUCCUUACCUCAACUGUGUGCCAGCCUGGACAUGUUCAAAUGAAAACCUGGGCUACGCUGUGAUCUUUGCUCUUGCUACCACGAUACGUGCAGUGAAGAGGGAGAUUGCCUCAGAUACAUCUGGAAUACAGCAAUUCAAAGCAACCCCCUCUCAUCUUUGAUUUGAAUUUGCUGUGCUUUCCAUCAUCGCCAAAGGGGAGCUCCUACCUCUGACACACAGAUAGGCGUCUGCUGCAUGAGUUGGCUGAGCGCUGCAGCCUGCCCAUCUGGAACAUGGAUAAACUCCCCCAGCGACUGGAGGAGUGACUUCGCCCUUUACUUGGCGCAGUCCUCAAUUAAGGUUAGCAAAGUCCUGUCCGGCCUUGCAUACAAAGCGCUUACUCACGGAAGGGCAAAACCCUGUUUUGGCUUCAAAGCAGACUCAGGGCCUCCCCCCAGACUGAGGCCCCCACCUCCAACCGGUCACACAGAGGCAGGCUGCUAAAUCGGCAGUUCCGCCGAGGAGCGAGCGGAGGCUUGCAGCAGCAUGGCUGCUUUCUCUGCACAUUCCUCUGGUGACGCUGCUCAUUACCCAGCAUGCAGAUAAGCCUGAGUCAAGGCUUUGGUAUGAGCGGCGCUGCCAGGAGCUGCGUGCUCGGAAUGGAGGUUACAGCCCGUGCCGAGGUGAAGCGCCCGCAGCCAGCUGUGCCCUGCCUGCCUCCCCUGCCUCCCACCGGACGCCCCUUCGCCCAUCUGCAGAAAAGGAGCUUUCCAACGCCUCCCCGCCACCGCACCGCUCGCCCAGGGAUCAUGCCCAUUGAGAAGCUCUCGGCCUAAUAGUAAUCCCGACGAAUUUAGCCGCUGCUAAUAAAUCCCACCCCUCCGCCCCUCCCAACCUGCCUCCAUGCAAAUCCAUUUGUAGGUUACUUGAACAAUAGCGGGGCUGUGAUCGGCCCUCCCUGCUGGCAGCCCGCAGGGAGGGAGGGGAGGAGGAUGAUGACAGCGGGGAAUUCUGCUCGGCUCCUUGAAGCUGCACAGACAUGUUUCGUGUCCCCGUUCCCAGCCCCAGCGUGGAGGCAGCCGGCCGGGCGGGGAUCGCCGCGCACACGCUUCCCGGCCCCGCACAGCCGGGUUCGGCCCCAGCCAGCGCUGCAGUCGCGUUGCCAGCCCCAGCCCUUGCUCACAGGGUGUGGAACGAAGUGGGGGGCCUCCGCGCUGGCAAAAAAACGAGUCCUCCCGAAUAGAGCAGGCACAGGGCAGCGCUCAGCCAGUGCGUGCCGAGGGAACAGUGCCAGCCUGCCUGAGCGAGAGCUGCCGACCUCAUUAUGGUUCUCCGUGGGGAAAGCCCACAGUCUUCCCGUUGUCAGUGGGUGUGGGAAGGGGUUGUUUUCCUGACAGUACGUUGUUUUUCAUGGCCGGCAGCAGUUUGCGUCUUUGCGAUUUCUCUGCAAAGGGUCACAAAAGCAGCAGUGAGCACAUACGGCUGUGCAGGGCUCCAGGGGGAAGAGCCGUGAGCAGAUGCCAAAUCAGCUGAAACCUAAGAAGCUUGACCUUCCUCACCUCCACCCCUGCUCCCACCUCCUCCAAAUAACCCUACAAGGGCGCAUGGGAAGGCUGGGUGCCCGGCAGCAGGGGAAUGCGAUCCCGGCCGUCGGCAGGCACGGCUGCGUGCAAGGGGGUCCCGUGCUGGGGGCAGCCUUGCCAGCAGCCCCCCACCACCACCAGCAAGACGUAGCCUAGCACGGCAGUGGGGCUGAACCCCCCGGCCCCGAGUGGCCCAGCCUGUCUGACCAGCUGGGGACCGUGCUGGCAGGACAGGCGGGUGACAGGCAUCCUCC